rnacentral:rRNA from 1 species
AAUCUUGGACAAUGGGCGCAAGCCUGAUCCAGCCAUGCCGCGUGAGUGAUGAAGGCCCUAGGGUCGUAAAGCUCUUUCGCCAGGGAUGAUAAUGACAGUACCUGGUAAAGAAACCCCGGCUAACUCCGUGCCAGCAGCGCGGUAAUACGGAGGGGUUAGCGUUGUUCGGAAUUACUGGGCGUAAAGCGCGCGUAGGCGGAUUAGUCAGUUAGAGGUGAAAUCCCAGGGCUCAACCCUGGAACUGCCUUUAAUACUGCUAGUCUUGAGUUCGAGAGAGGUGAGUGGAAUUCCGAGUGUAGAGGUGAAAAUUCGUAGAUAUUCGGAGGAACACCAGUGGCGAAGGCGGCUCACUGGCUCGAUACUGACGCUGAGGUGCGAAAGUGUGGGGAGCAAACAGGAUUAGAUACCCUGGUAG